ensembl:snRNA U2 U2 spliceosomal RNA
AUCGCUUCUCGGCCUUUUGGCUAAGAUCAAGUGUAGUAUCCAAUACUCAAGGGAAGUUGUGGCUGCACACCUACA